CAAAAUAUUUCCUUCUCUUUUUUCUUCUCACUUCACAGAACUGAUAAAUAUAAGGAUAGCAUAAGUUUUUUUGGAAUUAUAGGCUUAAAUUUGUUACAAUUUGGGUUUUUUUGCUUAUAAAAGUUUCUUAUAGUUCGUGUUCUUCAUAAUGCCUUUCUACAAAAAAGUAUCUUACUAUGACUAUAGCAUAGGGUGUUACAGUUGUCCUCACAGCCCCUUGGUUGAUUCCUCUUAACUCCACGGGCUUUCUUAAACAGAAUUGUAGUGAGAUGGAAGAAAGUUUCCAGCUGAAGAGGGAUCAACACGGAACUGUGAUUUCGAUGUGAGUAGGAGGCCCUUGGUAGCUCCAUGUUUUGGCCAGAUCCUCCCUCUAACCUCUAAAAUACAUUUUCUCUGGCUUGAAAGAGGGAUUCUAGGAAUCAGUGGCAGAAAGGCUAAGAAACAAGAAAAAGUGGCAGGAAAAACGUUGAGGUUAAAAGGCAAAGUGUUUCUACGAAUUUGUGAAGAGGUAUUACAAGUUUGUUCAUGUACAAAGAGAACUACUGCUUUUGUCCUUCUUUCAAAGGUGGAUGUUUUCUUUUAGCACUCUUCAAGAAAAGUUGAAUUAUCCAAAAAGUGAUUAAAUUAUAAAAGAAAUAUUAAAUCAUAUUCGUAUUAUUUCCUGCCUGGCUUUGUCCAAAAUGUACAGUGGAUGAGCAAGGUUCAGAUCAAAGCAGAACUCAAAGCCACCUAGUUGGAAAAGACACAAGCAUUUGCUCUGGAAUCAGAAUUUAAUGAUCUUUUCUAAUAACUACCCAUUACAGUUACUAUUAAGUAGAGAUUCCAAGGCUAUAACUUCAUAAGAUUUAUGUAGAGUGGUCUAUUUAUUAUUAACAUAAAUUGCUGCCCUUUGCAAUAUUUAGGAAAUAGUAGCCAGAGAAGUAACUUGGUAAACCAUGAUCUGAUUUUAGAGUAAACAUGGGAAAAUGGUAAAAGAUCUUCUAAGAAAUCUUUGGAGGAAAAGGAAGAAAACAAAAGUGAAUCACUGAAAAUAAAAUUAAACUCAUGAUGAAGUAGAAAUCUCAAAUUGAC
rnacentral:lncRNA from 1 species